rnacentral:lncRNA from 1 species
UGCAACAUGGGAGAACUCGCCAAACAGCCACUGAAUUAGUAAAUUAGGAGGCUUGGAGGAAGUCUUGUUGUCUUCAGGCCUCAUUAACGUACUAUGUAAGUCUUAUCUGUUGCCUAGGACUGCAUUGUGCUGCACACGCAUACAGCAAGGAGGGUGAAUUCCACCAGGGCUGCAGGAGGAGGGCACUGCUGAAAGCUGUCCUACAACAAGCACACGGCAAAGGGAUGCUGCUGGACCUCCCACAUGUUGUCACCUUUGCUGCCCAUGGGAUGAGCCUCUCUCACUGUCACUCUUGUACAGGAGAGCUUGUCAAGUGCCAGAAGCCAAAGCCUUGAAAGACAUCUCAGUGCUGCUCGCUUACGUAACGCCAAAUCUGCUCGCACAGUAAGAAAGCCUAUUAAAUAUUUAAACCCUGUCCUUUCCUCAAAAGCAGAACAGCAGAGAUGAUUUUCCAUGGAAUUUAACAUUAAACUCGGGCAAU